CUGUCUGCCGCAGCGUGGUGUUAACCUCGGAGUGUAGCACGACCACUCCAGGUUUCUCGUUGGCCUCAGGAUCGCGGGUAUCUGCACAGAAACAUCGAGAACACGAGCACCAGGGAAGCAGUGAAUGUGCACUUUAUGUUCGGCUAUGGUAGCACGGACGUGUUGGGCGAUGGAGUCUCUGAUGAUCACAGCAGUGUGUUUCAUCUUGCGGAUGGGAACAAAGUAGUUCCAGGUGGAGAAAGGAGGCGGCAGAGGGGGAGAGGUCAUUGCCUUUGGCCUGGCUUGUGUCCUUUACUGCAGGUGUACCCAGGAUCCGUGGUGUCCCAACUUCGGAGUGAAGCACAUCUGGGAAGAUUGUAUCUUGGGGGAACCGGCCCUGUGCAGAGAAACACAUGGAGUAGAAGUAGUGGGCUGUGUACUGUGUAGAAGUAGUGCGCUGUAUACCCACCCAGGACUUGUGAGCAUCAGCCCAGGAGGUUCUGCUUCUGCACCAGAUCUGCUCCUCCAACUGCACAGGAAUUUACCCUACAGUUCAACACCUCCCACAACAAUUAAUGAAAGGGUUUAUGAAAGAAAGCUGAAAACAUGACUGAUGCAGAACCCUGCGAAAUAAAACUGGAAGAUACUAAAGAACAAAUAGACUUCAUAGAAGACAACAAAAAGAUUGAAGAACUGAUUAAAGAGGGGGAGAACCAUCAUGUCAAAACUGAAGAAGCAUCCUGGAGAUCCUCCUUGACAAUAAGAGACAAAACAUGGCCUGAGUGUGAAACAAAAGCAGUUAAAAGCAGUAAAACAUUUUUUAGACCACAUUUCUUGAAGGACCACCUGAAAGUCCAUACGAAGGACAAGACUUACGUAUGUCAUUUAUGUGGAAAGAGUUUUAGUCACAUGGCUGCUUUAAAGAUACAUCAGAAAAGACACAGCGGUGUGAAGGAUCAUGCUUGCUCUGAAUGUGGGAAGACUUUUUUUAGAUAUGCUGAGUUGAAAGCGCACCAGACAGUUCACACUACAGAAAAACCUUACAAAUGUUCACAAUGUGACAAGAGAUUCAAACGGUCAGAAUAUCUGCGAAUACAUGAGAGGAUCCACACUAGCGAGAAACCAUACACAUGUAAUCAGUGUGGAAAGAGUUUCAGAAAAUGUGAUGUUUUUAAAAAACAUGUGCUUACUCAUUCUAGAGAGAGACUAGAAAAUUGUGACCAAAGCAGAAGAACAUUUCUAAAGGACCACUUGAAAGCUAAUACAAAGGAGAAGCCUUACAUAUGUUAUUUAUGUGGAAAGAGUUUUAGUCAGAUGAUUUCAUUAAAGAUACAUCACAAAAGACACAUUGGUGUGAAGGAUCAUGUUUGCUCUAAGUGUGGGAAGACUUUUUUUACAUAUGGUGCAAUGAAAGUGCACCAGACAGUUCACACUACAGAAACACCUUACAAGUGUUCACACUGUGACAAGAGAUUCAAACGGCCAGAUUAUCUGAGAAUACAUGAGAGGAUCCACACUGGGGAGAAACCAUAUACAUGUGAACAAUGUGGGAAGAGCUUCAGACUAAAAGAAAUGCUUAAUCGACACAUAGAUAUUCACAAUGGAGAGAAGCCGCACACAUGUGAACAAUGUGGAAAGAAUUUCACACAAAAAAGUAACCUUAUCAAACACAUGAAAAUACACACUGGAGAGAAGCAACACACGUGUGAUCAGUGUGGGAAGGGUUUCUCAGACAAAGGAAACCUUAAAUACCACAUGAAUAUCCACACUGGAGAGAAGCCACACACAUGUGAUCAGUGUGGCAAAAGUUUUGCACAUAAAGGAAACCUUUUCAAACACAUGAAAAGACACUCUGGGGAGAAGCCACACACAUGUGAUCAAUGUGGGAAGAGUUUCGCAGAAAAGGGAACCCUUCAUGAGCACAUGAGGAUCCACACUGGAGAGAAGCCAUACACAUGUGAUCAGUGUGGGAGGAGUUUCAUGCGAAGAACAACCCUUCACAGUCACAAGAAAACCCACAGUGGGGAGAAGCCGUACACGUGUGAUCAGUGUGGGAGGAGUUUCAGACAAAGAGGAACCCUUAUUGCACACAGGUUAACCCACAGUGGAGAGAAGUCCUAUACCUGUGUUCAGUGUGGGAUGAGUUUCGAACAAAAAGAUGGACUUCAUGAUCACAUGAAAAUCCACACUGGAGAGAAGCCGUACACAUGUGAUCAGUGUGGAAGGAGUUUCACAAAAAGAGGAGCACUAGAUGCACACAAGAAAACCCACAGUGGAGAGAAGCCAUACAGAUGUGAUCAGUGUGGAAGGAGUUUCACAAAAAGAGGAACACUAGAUGCACACAAGAAAACCCACAGUGGAGAGAAGCCAUACACAUGUGAUCAGUGUGGGAAGAAAUUCAAACGUAAAGAAAGCCUUCAUGAUCACAUGAAAAUCCACACUGGAGAGAAGCCGUACACAUGUGAUCAGUGUGGAAGGAGUUUCAUACGUAGAGUAACCCUUUACGCACACAAGAAAACCCACAGUGGGGAGAAGCCGUACACAUGUGAUCAGUGUGGGAAGAAAUUCAAACGUAAAGAAAGUCUCCAUGAUCACUUGAAAAUCCACACUGGAGAGAAGCCGUUCACAUGUGAUCAGUGUGGAAGGAGUUUCAUACGAAGAGUAACCCUUUACAAACACAAGAAAACCCACAGUGGGGAGAAGCCGUACACGUGUGAUCAGUGUGGGAAGAAAUUCAAACAUAAAGAAAGCCUCCAUGAUCACAUGAAAAUCCACACUGGAGAGAAGCCGUACACAUGUGAUCAGUGUGGGAGGAGCUUCAUACGAAGAGUAACUCUUUACAAACACAAAAAAAACCACACUGGACUGAAACCGCACCAGACAGUUCACACUACAGAAACGCCUUACAAGUGUUCACACUGUGACAAGAGAUUCAAACGAUCAUCACAACUUCAAAUACAUGAGAAGAUCCACACUGGAGAAAAGCCUCAUCACUGCCAUUCAUGUGGAAAGAGAUUCACUCAAUUAUCUUCUUUAAUCUGUCAUAAAUUACAUGUGUGCAUAUCUGAAAUUACAGUAAUUGGAUAAAGUUCUGAUCCUGUACAUCCAUGUGCUAGAUUAAUCAGUACCUCCUCAGAAGUCAUCAAUACAUCAACUUGCUCAGAAAUGAAAUACAAAAAUAAAUGGGAAUUUCAACAACAUAUAGGAGGCUAAAGUAUUCAUCUACAAAUUCUUGUUAGUGGCAAUUUUGAGAACACUGAGACAUAAACAGAGAGAAGUAGUUCCGGCUACGAUGUUCUUCGGCAAGACGCAAGCAGUUCUGUUUAUUAACUGCUAGAGUGUCAAAUGUUCCCUACCGCAGCUUUAAAUAAGUGUGGAUUGAGAACACAUACAUUCUGAGAACGCUUGUGUGCUCAGUGAGGAGACCAGAAUGAAGAUGGAUGCCGGGGAGAUCUACACUGAUCUGGUGAAUUUCAAAAGGCAAUGGCUACUGUGACGUUCUUUUCAACCACUACAGACCUGUGGUAAAGCAGGACAAGUGAACCAUUUAUUAGAUUGACUGUGCACGUUGUCGCCGAGGAGUUUGAAUUGAAAAGUCACUGCCUGCAAACAUUGUAAUUCCCCGACGACCACAUCGGAGAGAACAUAGCCUUGGGCUUGAGUGAGGCACUGGCUGCGUGGGACCUCUGUGCGGAGCGACAGGUCACCAUCACAACAGACAAUGGCACCAACAUUAUCAAAGCGGUAGAGCUUGAUCAGUGGACUAGAAUCCAGUGCUUUGGGCAUAGACUUCAUUUUGCCAUUAAAAUGCUCUGCAAGAUAAUGCACAAUGCAUAAGCAGAGCUACUGGGAUAUGCAGGAAGAUUGUUGGAAGAAAAGAAAGACCUUGAGGGAAACACAACGAGAGCUCAACCUCCCAGAGCAUGCCAUGGUGACAGACUGC